rnacentral:rRNA from 1 species
GUCGAGCGAUUUACUUCGGUAAAGAGCGGCGGACGGGUGAGUAACGCCUGUAAAACCUGCCCUGUACACACGGAUAACAUACCGAAAGGUAUGCUAAUACGAGAUAAAAUACUUUUAUCGCAUGGUAGAAGUAUCAAAGCUUUUGCGGUACAGGAUGGACCCGCGUCUGAUUAGCUAGUUGGUAAGGUAACGGCUUACCAAGGCGACGAUCAGUAGCCGACCUGAGAGGGUGAUCGGCCACAUUGGAACUGAGACACGGUCCAAACUCAUACGGGAGGCAGCAGUGGGGAAUAUUGCACAAUGGGCGAAAGCCUGAUGCAGCAACGCCGCGUGAGCGAUGAAGGCCUUCGGGUCGUAAAGCUCUGUCCUCAAGGAAGAUAAUGACGGUACUUGAGGAGGAAGCCCCGGCUAACUACGUGCCAGCAGCCGCGGUAAUACGUAGGGGGCUAGCGUUAUCCGGAAUUACUGGGCGUAAAGGGUGCGUAGGUGGUUUCUUAAGUCAGAGGUGAAAGGCUACGGCUCAACCGUAGUAAGCCUUUGAAACUGGGGAACUUGAGUGCAGGAGAGGAGAGUGGAAUUCGUGGUGUAGCGGUGAAAUGCUUAGAUAUCACGAAGAACUCCGAUUGCGAAGGCAGCUCACUGGACUGCAACUGACACUGAGGCUCGAAAGUGUGGGUAUCAAACAGGAUUAGAUACCCUGGUAGUCCACACAGUAAACGAUGAAUACUCGCUGU